AUUGAACGCUGGCGGCAUGCCUUACACAUGCAAGUCGAACGGCAGCACGGGUGCUUGCCCCUGGUGGCGAGUGGCGAACGGGUGAGUAAUACAUCGGAACAUGUCCUGUAGUGGGGGAUAGCCCGGCGAAAGCCGGAUUAAUACCGCAUACGAUCUACGGAUGAAAGCGGGGGACCUUCGGGCCUCGCGCUAUAGGGUUGGCCGAUGGCUGAUUAGCUAGUUGGUGGGGUAAAGGCCUGCCAAGGCGACGAUCAGUAGCUGGUCUGAGAGGACGACCAGCCACACUGGGACUGAGACACGGCCCAGACUCCUACGGGAGGCAGCAGUGGGGAAUUUUGGACAAUGGGCGAAAGCCUGAUCCAGCAAUGCCGCGUGUGUGAAGAAGGCCUUCGGGUUGUAAAGCACUUUUGUCCGGAAAGAAAUCCUUGGCCCUAAUACGGUCGGGGGAUGACGGUACCGGAAGAAUAAGCACCGGCUAACUACGUG
rnacentral:rRNA from 1 species